AAAAAAUCCUAACGAGCUGCCCAUUUAUUAACGGGUUCAAAACAGAGAGCCCUCAAUCAAUUCAACUCAGAUGAAAUACUGUCAAAAGCUAAUAGCCGCAGCCUUUGAUUUGACAAAAAAAAAUCGUAACAGAGGUGAUUUGAGAAAAUAUUGUUAAAGCGUUUCAAACUAUAGAAAUUGCAAAGCUUGAGUCGAGACACGAAUUUCAACAUUAUAGGUACACAGUUCCCUCCAUAUUUGUAACAUCAGCACUCACCAGUCAAUAAACUUAGCCUUCAGAAUCAUUAAAAUAAUUAUCAUUAAAUGAAAAGGACCUAAAUUGUCACUAUUUCUCUUCUAAUCUCUCAGUGAAGGAAUCUCACUUUUGUGUU
rnacentral:misc_RNA from 1 species